rnacentral:lncRNA from 1 species
CUGGUGGGUCCCCAGGGUCCGGCUGUGGGACCUCCCUGACCUGUUCCUGUCACCAGUGGGGUCCCCACAUCCUGCUGGGGCUGCUCCAGCCACCAUCCCCGUCACCAGUGGGGUUUGUCACCUGUGGGGCACCCCAGGGUCCGGCUGUGGGGCUGCUCUGGCCGCUGUCCCCAGUGGGGUGCCCGGGUCCGGUUGUGUCCGGCCACUAUCACCUGUGGGGUCCCCAGUCUGGUCCCUGUUACCCACAGGGUCCCUGGGGUCCAGCAGGGGUGUCUCAGGGGCCCUGGGGGGUGUUGCAGGCUGUUGCGUUGCAGGCUGUUGCACCGCAUGCGCUGUGCUGCGUGGUUGUGUCCGCACUGCGUACCCUGGCGGCGUGUGUUGUUGUGAACCUGAGCAUUGUGUCCAUCCUGUUGUGUCGUUGUGCGGCCUUUCUGUCCCGGUUGUGUCCCCAGUUGUGUCCCCGCUGUGUGCUGUUGUACCCCCCUGGUUGUGUGCCGAUUGUGUGCCAUUGUACUCCUGGCUGUGUCCCUGCUGUGUGCUGUUGUAUGCCAGGUUGUGUCCCCACUGUGUGCCGUUGUACCCCUGGUUGUGUCCCUGGUUGUGUCCCCAGUUGCGUCUCUUGUGUCCAUGCUGUGUGCAGUUGUGUCCCCCACUGUUGUACUGCCUGGUUAUGUCCCAUGGUAUCCCUGGUUGUGUCCUUGUUGUGUGCUGUUGUACCCCUGCUGUGUCCCAUUCUACCCAGUUGUACCCCAGGUGUGUGCAGUUGUACCUCCAGUAGUACCCCCGGUUGUAUCCCCACUGUGUGCUGUUGUACCCCCUGCUCGUGUCCCUGCUGUGUCCCGUUGUCCCCCUGGUUACGUCCCAGCUGUGUCCCUACUGUGUCCCGUUGUAUCCCCCAGUUGUACCCUAGUUGUGUGCUGUUGUAGCCCCAGUUGUGUCCUAGUUGUCUCCCCUGCUGUGUGCUGUUGUCCCCCUGGUUGUGUCUCAGUUGUCUCCCUGCUGUGUCUGGUUGUAUCCCCCAGUCAUACCCUAGUUGUGUCCCGUUGUAGCUCCAGUUGUGUCCCAG